AUUGAACGCUGGCGGCGUGCUUUACACAUGCAAGUCGAGCGAGUGGCGAACGGGUGAGUAACGCGGCGGAACGUACCAUAUAAUUGGGGAUAACUGGGGGAACGGACAGCUAAUACCGCAAAGUAGUCGAUCGGCCGAUGUCUGAUUAGCUGGUUGGUGGGGGAAAGGCCCACCAAGGCGACGAUCAGUAGCGGGUCUGAGAGGAUGAUCGGCCACACUGGAACUGAGACACGGUCCAGACUCCUACGGGAGGCAGCAGUGGGGAAUCUUGCACAAUGGGCGAAAGCCUGACGCAGCAAUGCCGCGUGUCUGAAGAAGGCCUUCGGGUUGUAAAGCACUUUCAGCGGGGAGGCGUUACCCGCAGAAGAAGCACCGGCUAACUACGUGCCAGCAGCCGCGGUAAUUC
rnacentral:rRNA from 1 species